UCCGGCUUAACGCCGGCAGUCCCCCCUUUCGGUUUCCUACCACCGACAUGUCAAACCCAGGUAAGGUUUUUCGCGUUGCGUCGAAUUGAACCACAUGCUCCACCGCUUGUGCGGGUCCCCGUCAAUUCCUUUGAGUUUCAACCUUGCGGUCGUACUCCCCAGGCGGGGUACUUCCUGCGUUAGCGCCGGCACCCAGAGGGUCGCUCCCCCAGGCACCUAGUACCCAUCGUUUACGGCGUGGACUA
rnacentral:misc_RNA from 1 species